rnacentral:rRNA from 1 species
GCCCUUAGAGUUUGAUCCUGGCUCAGGAUGAACGCUGGCGGCGUGCUUAACACAUGCAAGUCGAACGGGAUCCAUCAGGCUUUGCUUGGUGGUGAGAGUGGCGAACGGGUGAGUAAUGCGUGACCGACCUGCCCCAUACACCGGAAUAGCUCCUGGAAACGGGUGGUAAUGCCGGAUGCUCCGACUCCUCGCAUGGGGUGUCGGGAAAGAUUUCAUCGGUAUGGGAUGGGGUCGCGUCCUAUCAGGUAGUCGGCGGGGUAACGGCCCACCGAGCCUACGACGGGUAGCCGGCCUGAGAGGGCGACCGGCCACAUUGGGACUGAGAUACGGCCCAGACUCCUACGGGAGGCAGCAGUGGGGAAUAUUGCACAAUGGGCGCAAGCCUGAUGCAGCGACGCCGCGUGCGGGAUGACGGCCUUCGGGUUGUAAACCGCUUUGAUCGGGAGCAAGCCUCNGGGAAGUGUACCUUCGAUAG